UUGCGCUAGGCGGGGAGUUAGCGGUGCCCUGUACCCGAAAUCCGCUUUACGCGGGGCUGAAUUCCCCUCCGAGGAUCUGAUUUCCGGAUCACGCCGUUCUGAUCGGCCGCCGCGCAACGGGCACUCGUGAACCUUGUCAGGUCCGGAAGGAAGCAGCAAUAAGCGAAGGCGCCCGUGUCGCGGAUCGAUCCCGGUCAAUUUUCGGCUUUCGUCCGGCGUUUUUUUCGACGAGGGGUGCGCAG
rnacentral:SRP_RNA from 1 species